rnacentral:rRNA from 1 species
GACGAACGCUGGCGGCGUGCCUAAUACAUGCAAGUUGAGCGAUGAAGAUUGGUGCUUGCCCCAAUUUGAAGAGCAGCGAACGGGUGAGUAACGCGUGGGGAAUCUGCCUUUGAGCGGGGGACAACAUUUGGAAACGAAUGCUAAUACCGCAUAACAACUUUAAACAUAAGUUUUAAGUUUGAAAGAUGCAAUUGCAUCACUCAAAGAUGAUCCCGCGUUGUAUUAGCUAGUUGGUGAGGUAAAGGCUCACCAAGGCGAUGAUACAUAGCCGACCUGAGAGGGUGAUCGGCCACAUUGGGGCUGGGACACGGCCCAAACUCCUACGGGAGGCAGCAGUAGGGAAUCUUCGGCAAUGGACGAAAGUCUGACCGAGCAACGCCGCGUGAGUGAAGAAGGUUUUCGGAUCGUAAAACUCUGUUGGUAGAGAAGAACGUUGGUGAGAGUGGAAAGCUCAUCAAGUGACGGUAACUACCCAGAAAGGGACGGCUAACUACGUG